rnacentral:rRNA from 1 species
AUGUUUUUUCACAAGAAAAAAAAUCGAUUCCCAGUCUAUGAAAUGCAAGACAAUGUUGUAUCUCAUCAUCAACUCCUCCCUCAGCUUCUCGAAUUUGCAUUCCUCAGCGGUGUGAUCAGUCAUAGGUUCAUAGCUGACCUCCUGAUUUCAAAACAUCUCUGCAUUCCCCCCUUCUGCAGUCGUGCCCAUACGCUUACUAACACCGCCGUGACAGUAGUUUGUCGCCAUACAGAAGGCAGACCAUCGAACGCAAGGCAAAUUCCUUCCCCAAAUCACUGGGGAGUUCUUGAGUUCUGCAGUAGUAUGUUCAGGAGACACAAUAGCCUGUAA